rnacentral:rRNA from 1 species
CCCUAGUAACUGCGAGUGAAGCGGGAAAAGCUCAAAUUUAAAAUCUGGUGGUCUUUGGCCAUCCGAGUUGUAAUCUAGAGAAGUGUUACCCGCGUCGGACCGUGUACAAGUCUCCUGGAAUGGAGCGUCAUAGAGGGUGAGAAUCCCGUCUUUGACACGGACUACCGAGGCUUUGUGGUGCGCUCUCAACGAGUCGAGUUGUUUGGGAAUGCAGCUCAAAAUGGGUGGUAAAUUCCAUCUAAAGCUAAAUAUUGGCGAGAGACCGAUAGCGAACAAGUACCGUGAGGGAAAGAUGAAAAGAACUUUGGAAAGAGAGUUAAACAGUACGUGAAAUUGCUGAAAGGGAAACGCUUGAAGUCAGUCGCGUUGGCCGGAAAUCAGCCUUGCUUUUGCUGGGUGUACUUUCUGGUUGACGGGCCAGCAUCAGUUUUGACCGGUGGAAAAAGUUCAAGGGAAUGUGGCAUCUUCGGAUGUGUUAUAGCCCUUGUUCGUAUACAUCGGUUGGGACUGAGGAACUCAGCACGCCGAAAGGCCGGGUCUUUGACCACGUUCGUGCUUAGGAUGCUGGCAUAAUGGCUUUAAUCGACCCGUCUUGAAACACGGACCAAGGAGUCUAACAUGCCUGCGAGUGUUUGGGUGGAAAACCCGGACGCGUAAUGAAAGUGAAAGUCGAGAUCCCUGUCAUGGGGAGCAUCGACGCCCGGACCAGAAGUUUUCUGACGGCCCUGCGGUAGAGCAUGUAUGUUGGGACCCGAAAGAUGGUGAACUAUGCCUGAAUAGGGUGAAGCCAGAGGAAACUCUGGUGGAGGCUCGUAGCGAUUCUGACGUGCAAAUCGAUCGUCAAAUUUGGGUAUAGGGGCGAAAGACUAAUCGAACCAUCUAGUAGCUGG